GACGGAGGGGGCAAGCGUUGUCCGGACUCACUGGGCGAAAAGCGUGCGAAGGAGGUGCGAUGCGUCGGCGCUGAAAGCGCCCGGCUUAACCGGGCGACGGGCGACGAUACGAUCGCACUGGAGGCAGGGAGACGUUGGUGGAAUUCCGGGUGUAGUGGUGAAAUGCGUAGAGAUCCGGAGGAAUGCCGGUGGCGUAAGCGGCCAACGAGUCCUGACCUGACACUGAGGCACGAAAGCGUGGGGAGCAAACCGG
rnacentral:rRNA from 1 species